rnacentral:rRNA from 1 species
ACGCACGCUGGCGGCGUGCUUAACACAUGCAAGUCGAACGGAAAGGCCCCUUUGGGGGUACUCGAGUGGCGAACGGGUGAGUAACACGUGAGUAACCUGCCCUUGACUUCGGGAUAACUUCAGGAAACUGGGGCUAAUACCGGAUAGGAAUCCUUGCUGCAUGGUGGGGGUUGGAAAGCUUCGGCGGUUUUGGAUGGACUCGCGGCUUAUCAGCUUGUUGGUGGGGUAGUGGCUACCAAGGCUUUGACGGGUAGCCGGCCUGAGAGGGCGACCGGCCACAUUGGGACUGAGAUACGGCCCAGACUCCUACGGGAGGCAGCAGUGGGGAAUAUUGCACAAUGGGCGGAAGCCUGAUGCAGCAACGCCGCGUGCGGGAUGACGGCCUUCGGGUUGUAAACCGCUUUCAGCAGGGGCGAAGCUUGUGGUGACGGUACCUGCAGAAGAAGCACCGGCUAACUACGUG